GAGUGUAUAGCUCAGUUGGUUAGAGCAGUAGAUUGUGGAUCUACAGGUCGCGGGUUCGAGACCCGUUACACUCC
rnacentral:tRNA from 1 species